rnacentral:piRNA from 1 species
UAGGUGACCCCUUGGAAUAAUGGCCUCUCC